rnacentral:rRNA from 1 species
AACGAACGCUGGCGGCAUGCCUAACACAUGCAAGUCGAACGAGACCUUCGGGUCUAGUGGCGCACGGGUGCGUAACGCGUGGGAAUCUACCCUUGGGUUCGGAAUAACAGUUAGAAAUGACUGCUAAUACCGGAUGAUGACGUAAGUCCAAAGAUUUAUCGCCCAAGGAUGAGCCCGCGUAAGAUUAGCUUGGUGGUGGGGUAAUGUGCUACCAAGGCGACGAUCUUUAGCUGGUCUGAGAGGAUGAUCAGCAACACUGGGACUGAGACACGGACGUGACUCCUACGGGAGGGAGCAGUGGGGAAUAUGGGAAAAUGGGAGAAAGCGUGAUCCAGCAAUGCCGCGUGAGUGAUGAAGGCGUUAGGGUUGUAAAGCUCGUUUACCAGGGAUGAUAAUGACAGUACCUGGAGAAUAAGAUACGGCUAACUCCGUGCCAGCCGCCGCAGUAA